ensembl:lncRNA
GGAACACUCAAGUUUUCUAGUCUAGCUGCUGGAGACAGCAAUAUGUAGAUCUGAUGUUUGGAUACACCAAGCUCCAUAUGAGUCCAGCAGGGACAACUGGCCCCCAUGUGGAGAUCAUUUUGGUGGUGAAAUGGUCCACCCAUCUCACAGAAUCUAAGUUGGAAGAAGAGAUUACCUGAGGAUCAGAAAUGGCCUGGAAACAAAGGCACUUGUCCUGAGAUCCCAGUCAGCAAUCAGUUCUGGCACAAAAUCUUGUGUGAAUGCAGCGGAUGUACCGUCAACCUCAAACUCAUCUGUUCACCUGUAAUGAAACUCUACUGCAGUGAAAACAAAGUCAUCUCACCACAAACUGAUGUCAUAUGUCAGAACUAUCUGAGAGGACAGUUUGACAGUUGGGCAGUUUGACAUAGGUGCUACAUGGAAGUUGUUGAUAUAUAUUCAUAGAAUCAUUGAAUCAUGCAAGUUAGAAGGGACCUUUAAGGG